rnacentral:rRNA from 1 species
AGGUAGAGCACUGAAUGGGCUAGGGGGCCCAAAGCUUACCGAACCCUAUCAAACUUCGAAUGCCAGGAUAUUGAUGUACGGGAGUCAGUCCGCGAGAGAUAAGUUCCGCGGGCAAAAGGGGAACACCCCAGACCCACUGCUAAGGUCCCGAAGUGCGCGUUAAGUGGAGAAGGAUGUGUGAUUGCACAGACAACCAGGAUGUUGGCUCAGAAGCAGCCAUUCAUUCAAAGAGUGCGUAAUAGCUCACUGGUCGAGUGGUCAUGCGCCGAAGAUGUACCGGGGCUCAAACGCGCCACCGAAGCAUGGGAUUCGCGCAAGCGAGUGGUAGAGGAGCAUUGAAUCAGGGCAGAAGCUGGAGCGGGAGCACCAGUGGACUUGAUUCAAGAGAGAAUGCCGGUAUGAGUAGCGAGAGGCAAGCGAGAAACUUGCCCGUCGAAAGCCUAAGGUUUCCUGGGGAAGGUUCAUCCGCCCAGGGUAAGUCGGGACCUAAGCCGAGGACGGAAGUCGUAGGCGAUGGACAGCAGGUUGAGAUUCCUGCACCGCCUUGAGAAUGAUGCAAUGACACAGAAGGAUAGCAUGAGCCGGGUGAUGGUCAACUCGGUUUCCAAAGCGAGGGCGUCUGGUAGUGAAGUACGCCAGACACACAGCCUGAGCCAAAGAGGGAGCGAAAUUCAAGUAGCGAAGCAUGCGAUUUCACGCUGGCGAGAAAAGUUGCUGGUAUAUCGAAGAGGCGCCCGUACCGCAAACCGACGCAGGUAGGCGAGGUGAGAAUCCUAAGACGAACGGGAGAACCCUUGUUAAGGAACUCGGCAAAAUGACCCCGUAACUUCGGGAGAAGGGGUGCCGAUGGAAACAUCGGUCGCAGAGAAAAGGCUCAAGCGACUGUUUAGCAAAAACACAGGUAUCUGCGAAAGCGAGAGCUGACGUAUAGGUGCUGACACCUGCCCGGUGCUGGAAGGUUAAGGGGAAAUGUCAUCGCAAGAGAAGCAUAGAACCGAAGCCCCAGUAAACGGCGGCCGUAACUAUAACGGUCCUAAGGUAGCGAAAUUCCUUGUCGGGUAAGUUCCGACCCGCACGAAUGGUGUAACGAUUUGAGCGCUGUCUCAACAGGGGGCCCGGUGAAAUUGAAGUAUGGGUGAAGAUGCCCAUUACCCGCGACUGGACGGAAAGACCCCGUAGAGCUUGACUGUAGCCUGAUAUUGGAUUUCGGUAACGGAUGCACAGGAUAGGUGGGAGGCUUGGAAGCCAGGACUCCGGUCUUGGUGGAGCCACCGUUGGGAUACCACUCUUCUGUUGCUGGAAUUCUAACAUGGCGCCGUGAAACCGGUGAAUGGACAGUGUCAGGUGGGCAGUUUGACUGGGGCGGUCGCCUCCGAAAGAGUAACGGAGGCGCCCAAAGGUACCCUCAGAAUGGAUGGAAACCAUUCAAAGAGUGUAAAGGCAGAAGGGUGCUUGACUGUGAGAGUGACAACUCGAUCAGAUACGAAAGUAGGGCUUAGUGAUCCGGCGGUAUUGAGUGGAAAAGCCGUCGCUUAACGGAUAAAAGCUACCUCGGGGAUAACAGGCUGAUCUCCCCCAAGAGUCCACAUCGACGGGGAGGUUUGGCACCUCGAUGUCGGCUCGUCGCAUCCUGGGGCUGAAGCAGGUCCCAAGGGUUUGGCUGUUCGCCAAUUAAAGCGGCACGCGAGCUGGGUUCAGAACGUCGUGAGACAGUUCGGUCCCUAUCCAUCGUGGGCGUAGGAAUCAUGAGAGGGGCUGUUCCUAGUACGAGAGGACCGGAAUGGACGCACCACUGGUGCAACUGUUGUCGUGCCAACGGCAUAGCAGGGAAGCGAAGUGCGGAUGGGAUAAACGCUGAAGGCAUCUAAGCGUGAAGCCCACCUCGAGA